UACGUAGGGUGCAAGCGUUGUCCGGAAUUACUGGGUUUAAAGGGUACGUAGGUGGGCGUCUAAGUCUGGAGUGAAAGUUUGAGGCUCAACCUCGAAAGUGCUUUGGAUACUGGGCGUCUAGAAUUAGAUAGAGGUAGCUGGAAUUUGUGGUGUAGCGGUGAAAUGCAUAGAUACCACGAGGAACACCAAUUGCGAAGGCAGGCUACUGGGUCUAUAUUGACACUGAUGUACGAAAGUGUGGGUAGCGAACAGG
rnacentral:rRNA from 1 species